ACGGAAGGCAGCGGAUAAGAAUAUUCCGCAAUGGACGAAAGUCUGACGGAGCGACGCCGCGUGGAUGAUGAAGGCCGGAAGGUUGUAAAAUCCUUUUAAGCAUGAAGAAUAAGCAGUGUAGGUAAUGACAUUGUGGUGACGGUAGUGCUUGAAUAAGCAACGGCUAAUUACGUGCCAGCAGCCGCGGUAAUACGUAAGUUGCGAGCGUUGUUCGUAAUUAUUGGGCGUAAAGGGCAUGUAGGCGGAUAUGCAAGCUUGGUGUGAAAGGCGGGAUCUCAACUCCCUAACUGCGUUGAUAACUGCAUAACUAGAGUGACUGAGGGGCAGGCAGAAUUCCAGGUGUAGGGGUGAAAUCUGUAGAUAUCUGGAAGAAUACCAAUGGCGAAGGCAGCCUGCCAGCAGAUGACUGACGCUGAGGUGCGAAGGUGCGGGGAGCAAACAGGAU
rnacentral:rRNA from 1 species